UCGCGUACGAUGGUGCGCUCCCUUUUUUUCCGGUGGCUUGGCGCGAUGCACACUCCACGUCGUGUGGUGCGCUUCUCUUUUCGCUGCGCACCCCACCUAUCGCGCCACGCGCCACUUUUGGGAUCGGGUUAGGGAGCGAAGAAGGUCGGGGGUUAGGGAGGUGAGUAGCUCGGGGAGCAGGGGAGCAGGUCCGUGAGGUGGUGGGUGUGGUACGGUGGAGGAGGGGAAGCACAAAGAGGAGGAGGGUAAAUCCGAGGCACCACCGCCGGCUGAGCUCCGUCCCCUCGUCGACUACGCCGUAGCCGCCGCCGUGCUCUCCUCGCCGCCGCCUCCCCUCGACGCUUCUCCACGGCGAGCCCGCGCUCUGCCGUCUCCGCCCGCGCCGACGAGACCAGGGGCUAGACCCCUCCCAUGCUCCGCUUCUUCCCGCGGCGGUAGCAACAGCGGCAACGUCAACCCGUCCCGGAAACCUACCCUUAGUAGAAGUCAUAAGAACAAGUCCAGAACGACAAGCAUCGGUAGUGUGACGCGUGGUAGUCCGUUUUAUUCCGUUGUUUCCGCAUGUUCAUAUAGCGUUCCAGUUACGAUAUACACAUACAUACAUACAUACCUAUACACGAUGACUUCACUCUAAGGCUCUUUUAGGCGUAUGUUCAUAUAGCGUUCCAGUUACGAUAUAUAAGAAUCUACUUUUAAUGUGAUCCAACCGAAAAUUAUAUGAACCUCGUAGCUAUGAAGGCCUGGUCACUUGGCGGCCUGGUUACGACCACGAGUACCUCAAUCAAUCGUUGAAAAAAGACCAGUCGUUUGAGGUUGAAAUAAUUGGGUGAUGUCCUCUCGUCUCUAGAUUCUUUCUUGUCUUCUUCUUCUUAGGACGCCUUCUAAAACCACUUCUUGUUCUACUUGUGAGGAUAUAGACGUAAGUUUCCUUUUCCUGUCCGAUAACACGGAUUUUGAGGAUCGUUUAGUGGCACGGGUUUUUCAUGAGCGGCGUUUGAGACAGAACCUGGGAGAUUUAGAUUCCUGUGACUUGAAAGAUGGAGAUGAUGGUUCCACCGAUCGGUUUGACUUCUCCAACGGCGACGGCCUUUACAACAAGUCGGACGUGGGUACGGUCUACAACCUGUCCUUUGAUUUCCACGUCAACGACUCCUAGGUUUCUUGUGGGAAGGACUGGGGAGAUUCGGGUUCUCUUGUUGGUUAUGGCCGUUCCCCCGACUGUAUGGAUUCUUUCGCUUCGUCAUCAAGAAGGUACCGCAUUAGAUAUAUACAUGUAUGCUAAACUCCUAGGGCUUCUGAGCCAGUAGGAAGAUACUACCACUCGGAUACGGUACUUUCUACCUGCUGUUCGGAUGUAGUAGUUGUUGAGGUAGUAGUGGUGGAAGCUUCUUCCUCUGUAUUUGUGUACCCAUACCAGUGAGGGGAACCGUUGACGGUUCGAACCCCCUCCACGGGGCUAUAGCAUAGUGGUAGUGUGAGGAUAGAAAUGACAAAAAGAAUCAAACUAAGAAAACCAUUAUAGAACUAGAUCAUCUUAUUUCAAAAUCAUACUAGAUCAAACCUCGAAACGAAAUACUAGGAAGAUACAUUAGCUCAGGCACUCGAUAUAUAUUAUUUCUAAUCACAACUCAGUUCCCGAACUAAUAGAAUGAAACUAGAACUGCCUUAUUUUCUUUUUUAUUUUUCUUUAUUUUCUCUAGUAUACCUAGAAUACCUCUCAUUACUGAAGUGUAUAUUUUUCAUACUACUUAUUUUUAACAACUCUCAACUGUUUGUAUCAAAAACAGUAGCAACGUUAAUUAUCCUUCAUUAUUUCUUUCUAUCCAAGAUUGUAUAUUUAUAUGAUAGUACUUGUAGAAAAUACUAACACUCGUGAGUAAUUUUAUACUGUACAAUUUCUCAACUACAACCUGUUCCUUCUGUUACAUUACUCAAUACAAAAAAAUAUAGGCUUUUCCAUAUAACAGUACCUAGUAGGUUGUACAACUCGAACGGAAAGGGAGAGUACGAUCGUUUAAAAAACGUGGUUCAUCUCUAUGAUGAACACGAAGGUUUAUAGGAAUUUGGACCAAAACGGUACUCUCAAGUGGUAUAGAUGGAUACCUAACUCAUUCUAGGAAGUUCAUUCAACAGUACAACGUACGUUAUUUUAAAGAGAAAUUUAUACAUACUAAAAAAUCACACCUCUUUUAUUCGAAAUAUGCUAAAACAUUACACCUUCGUUAUUUUCGCUGCCUGAUGUAUUAUUUCCAGGUAUAGUGUUUACCGUUAUAUUUCACUGCAAGAAAACGUAAUUCUAAAACACGUAGGUUGGUAUUUUCGUGUAGUGUUGGAGACGAAGGGAGGCGCUUCCCGGAUAGAAAAUGAAAACAGAAUAUGGAAAAUGAUCUCAGUACCACUAGAAGUAGAAAGGAAAAAUGUUAAAUAGGAAACCGUUCGUGGAACACAACCUUUCUAGGACUAUAUAUAUAAAUUAACCUACAUUCAAUCGUACUUGAUAAUGACAACUGUAAUGGCAACUCCGGUUUCCAACCCUACGUUGUGAUAUUCGGGGAUAGAAAGAGACACAGGCUAAUUUUGAGGUAUGGGUAUUCAUAACGCACUCACAAUCGUUAACACUUUCUGAUUUACUAUCAACUCAUACACCUGAACGACUUUUCGAGAAUACAACUGAGAAAGGUUACAAUACUAUUUAACGUUAACGAAGUUACUGGCUCUCGUAUCAAACAAUCAGGAGUUACUUCAAAGACUAAGUAUGAACUGUAACACCUAUUUAAUAAUGAACUCGUAUUCUUACUAGUACUACGGAAGUACAGGCAUAAAAUAAAAUAGCUGUGGAGACAGAGGUUUGUACACCUGUAUAAGAAGCAAUAGCCGAAGGCGAACUCCUGUUCACUCCAGAUUCGAACCCCCUCAACUAUGUAGGUAAAAAGUAGUACGAAAAUAUAACUAUAAAUAACGUAAUACCCGACAAUAAUGAUUAAUACAGUGCUAUGAAUACGGAAAAGAGAGAAUAAAAUGUUCCAAAUGUGCUUCUCCCUCUUACGGCCGUCGACCUUAAGACCCGACCUUUUCUUCGUUUAUAAUCUCUGGAUAAGACGUGUUGAGGUUUUCAGGACUUUGAGGCCUUCAAUAAAAACCUUAAUUAUUUUUUAUGACUCGCUUCUUUUAUGGUCUUCCCCAGGUGGGUGGCAGGUGCUCCCACCCCCGCGCGGGAUGGGGGACCCGUGCGGGGGACGGAGCACCCGGUGGACCGUCCGGAGGCCACGGGUAGAAGACGAUAUACUUCAGAAAAUGGGACUUUUUUUAGUAUUCGUUCGAAAGCCCUACUCUGUGUCGGCGGUGAUCCGUCUUGGAACCACCUUGGUUAGAUCCUGAGGCCGCCUCGACAAGACGGCCCCUUUGCAGGGAGGCCCUCCCCCUUUAGUAGUAGUAACUAGGAGAGUCGCCCUCCCCCAUUUAGAGGUAGUUGUAGAAGUGGUCGUGGUAGAGGAGAGUUCGGUUUCAAGUAGAGAACAUAGGUUAGAAACAGGGUUUUGGAGUCUAACCAUGGACACCCAACGAUCAUCACAACUAAUGAGGAACAUCAACUACGAUCAACCAAAUAAGCCAUCUUCUAUUAUACAAAUCUAGGAUAUACGUAUAAUUAUGGGGAUACUAAUACUUGUACUUAUACUAAACACUCAUCAAUGCAAACAAGGAUUCCUGUACCCUCUUCAGAACGAUAUUCAUCAGUACAC
rnacentral:rRNA from 1 species